rnacentral:rRNA from 1 species
GACGAACGCUGGCGGCGUGCCUAAUACAUGCAAGUCGACCGAAUCAAUAGGAGCUUGCUCCUGUUGGUUAGCGGCGGACGGGUGAGUAACACGUGGGCAACCUGCCUGUAAGACUGGGAUAACUUCGGGAAACCGGAGCUAAUACCGGAUAAUCCUUUUCCACACAUGUGGGAAAGCUGAAAGUCGGUUUCGGCUGACACUUACAGAUGGGCCCGCGGCGCAUUAGCUAGUUGGUGAGGUAACGGCUCACCAAGGCGACGAUGCGUAGCCGACCUGAGAGGGUGAUCGGCCACACUGGGACUGAGACACGGCCCAGACUCCUACGGGAGGCAGCAGUAGGGAAUCUUCCGCAAUGGACGAAAGUCUGACGGAGCAACGCCGCGUGAGCGAUGAAGGCCUUCGGGUCGUAAAGCUCUGUUGUUAGGGAAGAACAAGUAUCGGAGUAACUGCCGGUACCUUGACGGUACCUAACCAGAAAGCCACGGCUAACUACGUGC